rnacentral:rRNA from 1 species
AGCGAACGCUGGCGGCAGGCCUAACACAUGCAAGUCGAGCGGCCGUAGCAAUACGGCAGCGGCAGACGGGAGAGUAACACGUGGGAACGCGCCCUUCGGUUCGGGAUAACUCAGGGAAACUUGGGCUAAUACCGGAUACGCCCUUACGGGGAAAGAUUUAUUGCCGAAGGAACGGCCCGCGUCCGAUUAGCUUGUUGGUGAGGUAACGGCUCACCAAGGCGACGAUCGGUAGCUGGUCUGAGAGGAUGACCAGCCUCACUGGGACUGAGACACGGCCCAGACUCCUACGGGAGGCAGCAGUGGGGAAUAUUGGACAAUGGGCGCAAGCCUGAUCCAGCCAUGCCGCGUGGGUGAUGAAGGCCCUAGGGUUGUAAAGCCCUUUCAGCGGGGAAGAUAAUGACGGUACCCGUAGAAGAAGCCCCGGCUAACUUCGUGCCAGCAGCCGCUGUAACAC